rnacentral:rRNA from 1 species
AUACGUAGGGGGCGAGCGUUGUCCGGAAUGAUUGGGCGUAAAGGGCGCGUAGGCGGCGCGGUAAGUCUGGAGUGAAAGUCCUGCUUUCAAGGUGGGAAUUGCUUUGGAUACUGCCGCGCUUGAGUGCAGGAGAGGUUAUCGGAAUUCCCGGUGUAGCGGUGAAAUGCGUAGAGAUCGGGAGGAACACCAGUGGCGAAGGCGGGUAACUGGACUGCAACUGACGCUGAGGCGCGAAAGUGUGGGGAGCAAACAGGAUUAGAUACCCUGGUAGUCCACACUGUAAACGAUGAAUGCUAGGUGUAAGAGGUAUCGACCCCUUUUGUGCCGGAGUCAACACAAUAAGCAUUCCGCCUGGGGAGUACGGCCGCAAGGUUGAAACUUAAAUGAAUUGACGGGG